ACUGAGACACGGUCCAAACUCCUACGGGAGGCAGCAGUAGGGAAUCUUCCACAAUGGACGCAAGUCUGAUGGAGCAACGCCGCGUGAGUGAAGAAGGCUUUCGGGUCGUAAAACUCUGUUGUUGGAGAAGAAUGGUCGGCAGAGUAACUGUUGUCGGCGUGACGGUAUCCAACCAGAAAGCCACGGCUAACUACGUGCCAGCAGCCGCGGUAAUAC
rnacentral:rRNA from 1 species